rnacentral:rRNA from 1 species
GUAGGUGGCAAGCGUUGUCCGGAAUUAUUGGGCGUAAAGCGCGCGCAGGCGGUUCUUUAAGUCUGAUGUGAAAGCCCACGGCUCAACCGUGGAGGGUCAUUGGAAACUGGAGAACUUGAGUUCAGAAGAGGAAAGCGGAAUUCCACGUGUAGCGGUGAAAUGCGUAGAGAUGUGGAGGAACACCAGUGGCGAAGGCGGCUUUCUGGUCUGUAACUGACGCUGAGGCGCGAAAGCGUGGGGAGCAAACAGGAUUAGAUACCCUGGUAGUCCACGCCGUAAACGAUGAGUGCUAAGUGUUAGGGGGGUUUCCGCCCCCCUUAGUGCUGCAGCUAACGCAUUAAGCACUCCGCCUGGGAGUACGGCCGCAAGGCUG